GGUUAAGUUAGAAAGGGCGCACGGUGGAUGCCUUGACACUAGGAGUCGAUGAAGGACGGGACUAACGCCGAUAUGCUUCGGGGAGCUGUAAGUAAGCUUUGAUCCGAAGAUUUCCGAAUGGGGAAACCCACCAUACGUAAUGGUAUGGUAUCCUUAUCUGAAUACAUAGGGUAAGGAAGACAGACCCAGGGAACUGAAACAUCUAAGUACCUGGAGGAAGAGAAAGCAAAUGCGAUUUCCUGAGUAGCGGCGAGCGAAACGGAACAUAGCCCAAACCAAGAGGCUUGCCUCUUGGGGUUGUAGGACAUUCUAUACGGAGUUACAAAGGAACGAGGUAGACGAAGCGACCUGGAAAGGUCCGUCGUAGAGGGUAACAACCCCGUAGUCGAAACUUCGUUCUCUCUUGAAUGUAUCCUGAGUACGGCGGAACACGUGAAAUUCCGUCGGAAUCUGGGAGGACCAUCUCCCAAGGCUAAAUACUCCCUAGUGAUCGAUAGUGAACCAGUACCGUGAGGGAAAGGUGAAAAGCACCCCGGAAGGGGAGUGAAAGAGAUCCUGAAACCGUGUGCCUACAAAUAGUCAGAGCCCGUUAAUGGGUGAUGGCGUGCCUUUUGUAGAAUGAACCGGCGAGUUACGAUCCCGUGCGAGGUUAAGCUGAAGAGGCGGAGCCGCAGCGAAAGCGAGUCUGAAUAGGGCGUUUAGUACGUGGUCGUAGACCCGAAACCAGGUGAUCUACCCAUGUCCAGGGUGAAGUUCAGGUAACACUGAAUGGAGGCCCGAACCCACGCACGUUGAAAAGUGCGGGGAUGAGGUGUGGGUAGCGGAGAAAUUCCAAUCGAACCUGGAGAUAGCUGGUUCUCCCCGAAAUAGCUUUAGGGCUAGCCUUAAGUGUAAGAGUCUUGGAGGUAGAGCACUGAUUGGACUAGGGGUCCUCAUCGGAUUACCGAAUUCAGUCAAACUCCGAAUGCCAAUGACUUAUCCUUAGGAGUCAGACUGCGAGUGAUAAGAUCCGUAGUCAAAAGGGAAACAGCCCAGACCGCCAGCUAAGGUCCCAAAGUGUGUAUUAAGUGGAAAAGGAUGUGGAGUUGCUUAGACAACUAGGAUGUUGGCUUAGAAGCAGCCACCAUUUAAAGAGUGCGUAAUAGCUCACUAGUCGAGUGACUCUGCGCCGAAAAUGUACCGGGGCUAAAUACACCACCGAAGCUGCGGAUUGAUACCAAUGGUAUCAGUGGUAGGGGAGCGUUCUAAGGACAGUGAAGUCAGACCGUAAGGACUGGUGGAGUGCUUAGAAGUGAGAAUGCCGGUAUGAGUAGCGAAAGACGGGUGAGAAUCCCGUCCACCGAAUGCCUAAGGUUUCCUGAGGAAGGCUCGUCCGCUCAGGGUUAGUCAGGACCUAAGCCGAGGCCGACAGGCGUAGGCGAUGGACAACAGGUUGAUAUUCCUGUACCACCUCUUUAUCGUUUGAGCAAUGGAGGGACGCAGAAGGAUAGAAGAAGCGUGCGAUUGGUUGUGCACGUCCAAGCAGUUAGGCUGAUAAGUAGGCAAAUCCGCUUAUCGUGAAGGCUGAGCUGUGAUGGGGAAGCUCCUUAUGGAGCGAAGUCUUUGAUUCCCCGCUGCCAAGAAAAGCUUCUAGCGAGAUAAAAGGUGCCUGUACCGCAAACCGACACAGGUAGGCGAGGAGAGAAUCCUAAGGUGUGCGAGAGAACUCUGGUUAAGGAACUCGGCAAAAUGACCCCGUAACUUCGGGAGAAGGGGUGCUUUCUUAACGGAAAGCCGCAGUGAAUAGGCCCAAGCGACUGUUUAGCAAAAACACAGCUCUCUGCGAAGCCGUAAGGCGAAGUAUAGGGGGUGACACCUGCCCGGUGCUGGAAGGUUAAGGAGAGGGGUUAGCGUAAGCGAAGCUCUGAACUGAAGCCCCAGUAAACGGCGGCCGUAACUAUAACGGUCCUAAGGUAGCGAAAUUCCUUGUCGGGUAAGUUCCGACCCGCACGAAAGGUGUAACGAUUUGGGCACUGUCUCAACCAGAGACUCGGUGAAAUUAUAGUACCUGUGAAGAUGCAGGUUACCCGCGACAGGACGGAAAGACCCCGUGGAGCUUUACUGUAGCCUGAUAUUGAAUUUUGGUACAGUUUGUACAGGAUAGGCGGGAGCCUUUGAAACCGGAGCGCUAGCUUCGGUGGAGGCGCUGGUGGGAUACCGCCCUGACUGUAUUGAAAUUCUAACCUACGGGUCUUAUCGACCCGGGAGACAGUGUCAGGUGGGCAGUUUGACUGGGGCGGUCGCCUCCUAAAGUGUAACGGAGGCGCCCAAAGGUUCCCUCAGAAUGGUUGGAAAUCAUUCGUAGAGUGCAAAGGCAUAAGGGAGCUUGACUGCGAGACCUACAAGUCGAGCAGGGACGAAAGUCGGGCUUAGUGAUCCGGUGGUUCCGCAUGGAAGGGCCAUCGCUCAACGGAUAAAAGCUACCCCGGGGAUAACAGGCUUAUCUCCCCCAAGAGUCCACAUCGACGGGGAGGUUUGGCACCUCGAUGUCGGCUCAUCGCAUCCUGGGGCUGUAGUCGGUCCCAAGGGUUGGGCUGUUCGCCCAUUAAAGCGGUACGCGAGCUGGGUUCAGAACGUCGUGAGACAGUUCGGUCCCUAUCCGUCGUGGGCGUAGGAAAUUUGAGAGGAGCUGUCCUUAGUACGAGAGGACCGGGAUGGACGCACCGCUGGUGUACCAGUUGUUCUGCCAAGGGCAUAGCUGGGUAGCUAUGUGCGGAAGGGAUAAGUGCUGAAAGCAUCUAAGCAUGAAGCCCCCCUCAAGAUGAGAUUUCCCAUAGCGUAAGCUAGUAAGAUCCCUGAAAGAUGAUCAGGUUGAUAGGUUCGAGGUGGAAGCAUGGUGACAUGUGGAGCUGACGAAUACUAAUAGAUCGAGGACUUAACCAU
rnacentral:rRNA from 1 species